UCCGUCAAUAGACUGGAGGCCUUGGCGCGU
rnacentral:sRNA from 1 species